AGGGUUUGAUCAUGGCUCAGAUUGAACGCUGGCGGCAGGCCUAACACAUGCAAGUCGAGCGGUAACGCGGGGCAACCUGGCGACGAGCGGCGGACGGGUGAGUAACGCGUAGGAAUCUACCUGGUAGUGGGGGAUAGCCCGGGGAAACUCGGAUUAAUACCGCAUAAGCCCCAAGGGGGAAAGCGGGGGUCGCAAGACCUCGCGCUAUCAGAAGAGCCUGCGUUGGAUUAGCUAGUUGGUAGGGUAAAGGCCUACCAAGGCGACGAUCCAUAGCUGGUCUGAGAGGAUGAUCAGCCACACUGGGACUGAGACACGGCCCAGACUCCUACGGGAGGCAGCAGUGGGGAAUAUUGGACAAUGGGGGCAACCCUGAUCCAGCCAUGCCGCGUGUGUGAAGAAGGCCUUCGGGUUGUAAAGCACUUUAAGUGGGGAGGAAGGGGUCAACGCUAAUACCGUUGAUCAUUGACGCUACCCACAGAAUAAGCACCGGCUAACUCUGUGCCAGCAGCCGCGGUAAUACAGAGGGUGCAAGCGUUAAUCGGAAUUACUGGGCGUAAAGCGCGCGUAGGCGGCUGAUUAAGUCGGGUGUGAAAGCCCCGGGCUCAACCUGGGAAUUGCAUCCGAUACUGAUUGGCUAGAGUAUGAGAGAGGGAGGUAGAAUUCCACGUGUAGCGGUGAAAUGCGUAGAUAUGUGGAGGAAUACCGGUGGCGAAGGCGGCCUCCUGGCUUAAUACUGACGCUGAGGUGCGAAAGCGUGGGGAUCAAACAGGAUUAGAUACCCUGGUAGUCCACGCCGUAAACGAUGUCAACUAGCCGUUGGGCACCUUAGUGUGCUUGGUGGCGCAGCUAACGCGAUAAGUUGACCGCCUGGGGAGUACGGUCGCAAGAUUAAAACUCAAAUGAAUUGACAGGGGCCCGCACAAGCGGUG
rnacentral:rRNA from 1 species